CCUACGGGAGGCAGCAGUGAGGAAUAUUGGUCAAUGGACGAGAGUCUGAACCAGCCAAGUAGCGUGAAGGAUGACUGCCCUAUGGGUUGUAAACUUCUUUUAUAUGGGAAUAAAAUGUUCCACGUGUGGGAUUUUGUAUGUACCAUAUGAAUAAGGAUCGGCUAACUCCGUGCCAGCAGCCGCGGUAAUACGGAGGAUCCGAGCGUUAUGCGGAUUUAGUGGGUUUAAAGGGAGCGUAGGUGGAUUGUUAAGUCAGUUGUGAAAGUUUGCGGCUCAACCGUAAAAUUGCAGUUGAAACUGGCAGUCUUGAGUACAGUAGAGGUAGGCGGAAUUCGUGGUGUAGCGGUGAAAUGCGUAGAUAUCACGAAGAAUUCCGAUUGCGAAGGCAGCUCACUGGACUGCAACUGACACUGAGGCUCGAAAGUGUGGGUAUCAAACAGGAUUAGAUACCCGUGUAGUC
rnacentral:rRNA from 1 species